rnacentral:lncRNA from 1 species
UCCUGUGAAUGACACACACUCUAUAUUUUUAUAUUUCACUGAUUCUUGACUUUUCAUUGUUUUAUUGCAAAUAUGGCGUGGUAUCGCCGUUGCAACGAAUAUUUUCUUGAGCAAUGGAACGAGGAAAUGUGAAAUCUCAACAAGCCAAACAUUAAAGACGCUCGCAACAGUGAGUUGAAAUGUCUUCUCUUGGGGAUAAGUAAUUAAUUAAGUACUGCCAUAUGGUGAGUAAAUCCGGC